AUUCAACUGUUCAUUACUGAGAGCUGCUCAACACAACACUGCAAAGGCACCAUGACUUUGACCGCAGUCGUCGUCUGGGCACUCCUCACAUGUGUCUUGGACUCUCUGGGUCAGGUUGUGUUGUCUCAGUCUGGAGAUCAGAUGGUGCAGCCUGGUCAGACUGUCACUAUUCACUGUAAACACGAGCCGGCAAUUAAUUGUGUGAAAAAAGACACAUCAAAGUAUUGUAUGUCCUGGUAUCAUCAGAUUCCUGGAGAAGUUCCUAAACUCUUGAUAUAUUAUACGGAUCAGAGAGCUUCUGGUAUUCCCUCUAAAUUCAGUGGCAGUGAAUCUGGAAAUAAGAUUGAUUUCACUUUGACUAUCAGUGGAGUAGAGGCUGAAGAUUCAGGAGAUUAUUACUGUCAGAGUCAACAUAAAGGCACAUCAACAAAUAACGUGUGGGUGUGGACAUUUGGUGGAGGCAUGCGUCUCUCUGUUGGAACUAACACCCAGCCCUCUCUGACGGUCCUCCCCCCCUCCAGCGCAGAGCUCCAGCAGGGGAAGGCUACACUUGUGUGUCUGGCCAAUAAGGGCUUCCCCUCAGACUGGAAGCUGAGCUGGAAGGUGGAUUCCAUUGGCUGGAGUGAAGGUGUGAGUGUGAGUCCCGCUGUGCUGCAGACAGAUGGCCUCUACAGCUGGAGCAGCACACUGACCCUCCCUGAGAGCAAGUGGAGGUGGACGGCAGCAGUGACUUGUGAAGUCACUCGGGACUCCCAGACCCCAGUCACCAAGAGCAUCAACACACAAGCGUGUACAGAGGAGUGAGCAUGUGUUUAUUAAACACACACACACACACACACACACACACACACACAAACACAAAUCUGAGGAUUUUGAAAGUCGCAUACGAUUUUGAAGUUCAUUUCAGAUUUUACUGUCAAGCAUUCUUAAAUUUACAUCUUCGUUACUAUGUGUGCAAAAUAAAAGCAAAUAAAAUCUUUUUUGAAACAGAAA